UGGGGAAUUUUGGACAAUGGGGGAAACCCUGAUCCAGCCAUCCCGCGUGUGCGAUGAAGGCCUUCGGGUUGUAAAGCACUUUUGGCAGGAAAGAAACGUCGCGGGUUAAUACCCCGCGAAACUGACGGUACCUGCAGAAUAAGCACCGGCUAACUACGUGCCAGCAGCCGCGGUAAUACGUAGGGUGCAAGCGUUAAUCGGAAUUACUGGGCGUAAAGCGUGCGCAGGCGGUUCGGAAAGAAAGAUGUGAAAUCCCAGGGCUUAACUUUGGAACUGCAUCUUUAACUACCGGGCUAGAGUGUGUCAGAGGGAGGUGGAAUUCCGCGUGUAGCAGUGAAAUGCGUAGAUAUGCGGAGGAACACCGAUGGCGAAGGCAGCCUCCUGGGAUAACACUGACGCUCAUGCACGAAAGCGUGGGGAGCAAACAGGAUUAGAUACCCUGGUAGUCCACGCCCUAAACGAUGUCAACUAGCUGUUGGGGCCUUCGGGCCUUGGUAGCGCAGCUAACGCGUGAAGUUGACCGCCUGGGGAGUACGGUCG
rnacentral:rRNA from 1 species